CAAGUAAACCGGGUGACCGCUCUUCUCUGAAGAGAGGAAAGUCCGAGCUCCGCCGGGCAGGAUGCUGGGUAACACCCAGGAGGGGCGACCCUACGGAAAGUGCCACAGAAACAUACCGUCCUUCGGCUGAAGGAUAAGGGUGAAAUGGUGAGGUAAGAGCUCACCAGCGGCUGGGUGACCAGUCGGCUGGGUAAACCCCGUCCGGAGCAAGACCAAAUAGAGGGACAAAAGGACGCCCGGCCUCGUCCCCGGGUUGGUCGCUUGACCCUGGGGGUAACUCCAGGGCUAGAUAGAUGGUCGCCGUCCUUCCCCUGGGGGAGGGAUACAGAACUCGGCUUACAGGUUUACUUGACCU
rnacentral:RNase_P_RNA from 1 species